GCAUUAAUGGGGUAGUGGUAACCUGGGUCGUUGCCAUAUAGUGAGAUUGCGUGUCAGCUUCGACCCGCCGGGGGUUCGAUUCCCCCUUAAUGCA